rnacentral:lncRNA from 1 species
AAUGACAAGGACCGCUGCCCUCAGUGCAAGGGUGAAAAGGUUGUUCAGGAGAAGAAAGUUCUGGAAGUCAUUGUUGAGAAGGGAAUGCAAAAUGGACAGAGGAUUACCUUCCCUGGAGAAGCUGAUGAAGCAGUGAGUGGCUGCAGUUAGUUGGAUGCUUUUUGGUCCUAAUGUUCUUUGGUAUUUUGGUAAUUUCUUUAUCUAUGAUUUUGUGUACAUUCUAAUUGGUUUGUCUUCUUUGUACAGCCUGAUACUAUUACAGGGGACAUUGUUUUUGUACUACAGCAAAAGGAGCAUCCUAAGUUUAAGCGAAAGGGUGAUGACCUAAUUG